rnacentral:rRNA from 1 species
AUUGAACGCUGGCGGCAGGCCUAACACAUGCAAGUCGAACGAGUGGCGGACGGGUGAGUAAUGUCUGGGAAACUGCCUGAUGGAGGGGGAUAACUACUGGAAACGGUAGCUAAUACCGCAUACCAUCGGAUGUGCCCAGAUGGGAUUAGGGAGUCGGUGGGGUAAAGGCUCACCAAGGCGACGAUCCCUAGCUGGGCUGAGAGGAUGACCAGGCAAACUGGAACUGGAACACGGGCCAAACUCCUACGGGAGGCAGCAGUGGGGAAUAUUGGACAAUGGGCGCAAGCCUGAUGCAGCCAUGCCGCGUGUAUGAAGAAGGCCUUCGGGUUGUAAAAUACUUUCAGGGAGGAGGCGUUACCCGCAGAAAAAGCAACGGCUAACUCCGUGCCAGCCGCCGCGGUAAUAC